rnacentral:rRNA from 1 species
AGUGAACGCUGGCGGUAGGCCUAACACAUGCAAGUCGAACGGCAGCACAGUAAGAGCUUGCUCUUACGGGUGGCGAGUGGCGGACGGGUGAGGAAUACAUCGGAAUCUACUUUUUCGUGGGGGAUAACGUAGGGAAACUUACGCUAAUACCGCAUACGACCUACGGGUGAAAGCAGGGGAUCUUCGGACCUUGCGCGAUUGAAUGAGCCGAUGUCGGAUUAGCUAGUUGGCGGGGUAAAGGCCCACCAAGGCGACGAUCCGUAGCUGGUCUGAGAGGAUGAUAAGCCACACUGGAACUGAGACACGGUCCAGACUCCUACGGGAGGAAGCAGUGGGGAAUAUUGGACAAGGGGCGCAAGCCUGAUCCAGCCAUACCGCGUGGGUGAAGAAGGCCUUCGGGUUGUAAAGCCUUUUUGUGGGGAAAGAAAGGCAGCAGGUUAAUACCCCGCUGUUCUGACGGUACCCAAAGAAUAAGCACCGGCUAACUUCGUG